rnacentral:rRNA from 1 species
AUUGAACGCUGGCGGCAGGCCUAACACAUGCAAGUCGAGCGGUAACAGGAAAUAGCUUGCUAUUUGCUGACGAGCGGCGGACGGGUGAGUAACGCGUAGGAAUUUGCCCAGUAGUGGGGGAUAGCCCGGAGAAAUUCGGAUUAAUACCGCAUACGCCCUAAGGGGAAAGCAGGGGAUCUUCGGACCUUGCGCUAUUGGAUAAGCCUGCGUGAGAUUAGCUAGUUGGUGAGGUAAGGGCUCACCAAGGCGACGAUCUCUAGCUGGUCUGAGAGGAUGAUCAGCCACACUGGAACUGAGACACGGUCCAGACUCCUACGGGAGGCAGCAGUGGGGAAUAUUGGACAAUGGGGGCAACCCUGAUCCAGCCAUGCCGCGUGUGUGAAAGAA